AGGGAACCUAGGGGUGGGAGUGGAGGACAGAUCCACCAAGAACCAAGGCCUUUACUGAGGACCAAAAAGCCAUGCGUCAUAUCCAAGGAACCAGAAGGGGACAAUGUAACCCGUGAACAACCUCUGGAGCUGGAGUGAAGUGGCAGUGAUCUCGGCUCACCGCAACCUCCGCCGCGCCACUCCAUCCCACCAGGGUUCAAGCGAUUCUCCUGCCUCAGCCUCCCAAGUAGCUGCAAUUACAGGCACCCGCC
rnacentral:lncRNA from 10 species